rnacentral:lncRNA from 1 species
GCCUUUGUUAGUCUUGUAUUAUUUUAAUUUUAGUUUCUUGUGUACAAUUUGGAAAUUAGUAUGGCGUUCAUUAUCGGUGAACUAGUAUAUAUUUGUUUAGGGGCCGGCUGAAGGACGCCCCCAGGUGCGGAAAUUUCUCGCUACAUUGAAGACCUGUUGGUGACCUUCUGCUGUUGUUUUUUCUUUGGUCGGGUUGUUGUCUCUUUGACACAUUCC